GUGCAGAGACCCGGGGUGUGCUCUGCAGUGCAUCCUUGAGUGAAAAGAGCCAGGUGCAGGACAGCAUCGGGAGCACACUGUCGCUUGUGAACACGGUUGUACCUGCACAGAAAAGCUGAAAAUGUGGAAAGAAACCGGCUAGAGCAGACAGCUUUGGAGACAAUGUCUGGGCCUGGAGAUCUGGCUCACAGGGAGACUGACUUCACUGAACAUCCUUUUGAAAUAUUGGGAUGUUUAACCAUAUGCAUAUACUGCCUUUUCAGAGAAGAAGGGGGAGGAUUUGGAAGCCCAAUCUCCAGGUCUGGUCCUCCUUUUAUUACUCAGUAGCUUUGACUUUGGACAACUUACUUAUCUGCAAUGUGCUUCCCUUCUCUGGGCAAUGAAGGUGUUGAGCCCCACAUCAGGGGUUGGUGGAAGGGAAAUGAGACAAGAAAAUGCAGUUGAGUGCCACGGGUGGGGGCGAAUCAAGUGGUUUCAGCCCCUUUGGGGACCAAAGAAGCCCAGCAGCAGCAGCAGCGAGGGUGAGAGCCAACAUACAGGGUGCUGUUUGAUUUAAGGGCUGCCGCCAGCUCGCUGCAGAACUCGAAAAAGUGACCUUAAAGUCUCUGGAUUUCAGUUCUUUCAUCUGUAAAAGGGCACUGGUGGGGAGUGGCAAUGACACUAGAUGGUUCACUUCAGCUAAAAACAGACAUAAAACAUGAUUUUAAUAUUGGUUGGAAAUGACUCAGUGCAGUAACAGAGGCAGAAAAAAAGCCCCCAAGGGAGUUUGCAGCACAGAACCAUCGCUUCCAGCUGUGAAUGUGCAGAGGGGAAGAGGACGUUGCAGAAAGGAGAAACUGGUGGUCUCUUUACCUAAAUCACCCAGACCCUGGUGCCAGGCAAAUGUUCACUCUUUCAGCCGUUUUUGGAAAGGCCAACAGAAAGGAGAGGUACCUAGACAGUCUGUACAAUGGUGGCCCCCAAUGAACUAUGCCUCCUUGUAAUCAUGUCCUAGUGUAAUCCCCUCUGACACUGACUUUGGGAUUGACCAUGUGACUUGCUUUCGCCAUGGAACACAAACAGCACAAGCACAAACUUGAUAAGCACUUGGACACUGGGUCUUUGGAACGCCGCCUCUGGAAGCCAGCAUCCAUGCUGUAAGGAAGCUCAAGCUAAACUACCAGAUGAUGAGAGGACAUGGAGAGAAAACCCAGAGGACAGGAGUCCUCAUGGACAUUCAAUCUUAGCUGUUCCCCAGCCAAUGCAGCCACAUGGGUGACCUCGGCAACCCUGCACUGUGCAAAAGAACUACCCAGCUGAACCAGUCAACCCAUAGGAUUGCAAAACAUGAUAACCAGUUGUUGAUUUAAGCCACUAAGUGUGGGAGUAGUUUUUUGGGCAGCAAAAGAUAACUUAGUAUUGUGGGAAGCUAAAAUUUCAGUUUCAGGGAGGGUUUUGAGAGUUGAUGAGUCCAUUUGGGGGAAGGAUGUAGUCUUAAGCUUACUUCCCCAGAAGCAAAAGGGGAAUGAGAUAAACAGACCUUUGGCUGGACUCCAAGAGUCUUUCAACCAAAGAAAGUUUACUGAAGAAAAAAAGAGAAACUUGGCCGAGAUCUGAAGUGUGAUGAGAAUUUGGAACACGGAAGACAAGCCAGGAGGCCCUUCUGAAAGUAGGAAGCCACAGAAGCAAACGGUGCCAAGGAGGACGAUCCAGGGCGGGCCUGGCCGCAAGAGGGCACCUUGCAGAAAGCACCGCAGUUGGCAGUAAGCAGGCAUUUUCCAGAAGAAUCCCGAAGGCAAAUACUCUGUUCUGCUCUCAGUUAACCUGUGCUACUGUCAGACCACAUACACUGUAGAGUUCAGAGGUAGCUGCUAUGGGAGUGAAUCUUCUUGCUGCUGCCAAAGUGAGUAAAAAUCAAACGGAAUAAAAUAAUAAUGGUGGUAUGGGCCCAGUCUUCUAGAGUUUUCCAUGCCCUUCAUUUCACAUAGCCUUCACACCAUCCUGUAGGGUCGGGAGGGCAUGAAUAAGAACCCUCCUCCCAAAGAUGAAAGAACAGAGAACAAAAGGGGCUGAGGGACUUUUGUGAGACCACGCGGCAAGCUGGGGCCUGGAAACAUGAGCUCAUCCAUCCCGGCCUUUCUGCUGUGGCUCUAUCAUCCACUUGUCCAGGGAGGGUGCCAGCCCUACGUGUGUUUAGUGAGAAGUGUGGGGUGAGAGCAACCACAGGAAAGAAAGCCCCGUUGUGACAACGUUGUGCCCUGAGCUGCCUGGCCCACUCAUUCCACUGGCCUGUGUUCUACCCAGGACGGGCCGCAUGUCCCAGGGUUUCUGCUGAGCAACCAGUCAGCGUGCUGCUGAGCACCCGGGCCCGAUGUGAAAUGGUCAGCUCCUUUCCUUCUACCAGUGCCAACUGCUGCACCUGCCAGCCUCUGCCUAGCCUCCACCACUGAUGCUGCUGUAAGAGGAAGAAGAUUCCUGUCUUAACAGAAUUCUCAUGCAUGCCUUUCAAACCGAGGAGCUCACAGGCUGACGGAAGAGGAUGACAGGGAGUGGAGGCAGCUGCACUCGGGUGUUUAUAGUGCACAUACAUGAUUCAUCUCAAACCAGACAAGCCAUGCUGCACCCGACGGCUCGCCAUUUCUCAGAGAUGCCAAGCCUUCUUACAACUCUGAGCCUCUGCAUGUGUCUAGAACAUUUUACCCAUAUUUCUCUACCUGCUGGACUCCUUUCCAUCCUUCAAAACUCAGACCAAAUGUCCUUGCUCUGUGAAACCCUCCUUCUUCCCAGGGGACUCCUGCAGGCCAGCAGCAGGGACGGACUCACCUCCCUGUGCCCUCUCCCAGCAGAUGACCUCAGCCCUCACAGUUGAAGAAGUUGGUAAGAAACUGACAAUUUGGUGUAGGAAAAUUUAAAAAACUGUCAGCAAGUUCACUGAAUAACAUUUGGAGGACUUCAUUAUGAAAAAGGGAUCAGGCCAUUCAUUCAUUCCUUAAGCAUUUAUGGCGUGCCCACCAGGUGCCCAAAGUGUGCUCCAAAGAGGCACAGGUGAGGCCACAGGAUCUGUCCUCAGAUCCGGAUUUCACAGCCCAGUGGAGGAAGUGAUGUCUAACAAGGUGAGUGUCAUACAGCACACCACUCACGGGAGAAAAAAAGCUCUGGAGCAAUGGCAACGGGACAGAGCCCACCCGAGGAGAUGGGAAGAUGUGGGAGGCACACCUCAGAGGGGUGGAGAGUCCCUGGGAACUGUGCUUCAGGCAGAAGGGACAGCCUAGGCGAGAAAUAGCAUGCCAGGCACAGGGGAAUUUUAUCAUAAGGGGAGGCAAGAGUAUAAGAAAACCGGGUUUGCCCUAUCGCAUUCAAGGGUGGCUCUCUUGGCCAGCAUCAUUCAGGUGGCUGUUUUGAGUUGUUCCCGGCAGCCUCCACCAAAGACAAAAGAGGACUGUGUACAAGCUCUCACCUGGCCAGGCCCUCGUGACUGGCAGCUUACAUUGCCAAGACAGCUGCUUGGAUCAUGAGAUGUAGCACAGCUGGUCCAAAAGGCAAAUAAGAAACGAUCCGUGGUGUCACCUCAAGUGUCUCAAAAUCAUUGAAGCACAUGCUGAGAGCCCACCUCUCACUUUGCAGAUGAGGAAGCAGAGGAGGGGAGGGAGUUGUCUAAGGUCACACCACAGGAUAAGCAUUGAGUGACAGGGCAGGAAUCAGGCACCUGGAGAUGGAGCUGCAAAGGACACUGUCCUCGACCUUGAGGGGCUUACAACGUGUUAUUGACUGAACUGUGCCCCCCUUAACUCGUAUGUUGAAAUCCUGACCCCCAAUACUUCCAAAUGUGACUGCAUUUGGAGAAAGGGCCUUUAAAGAGGUUAUUAAGGUAAAGGGAGGUCAUGAGUGGACUCUAAUCCAACAUGGCCAGGGUCAUAUUCCAAAAGUGGAAAUUAGGACAGAGACACACAGAAGACACAGAGAAAAGGUGGCCAUCUACGAGCCACCUUCUACAAGAGAGGCCUCAGAAUGAACCCAACCCUGCUGACACCUUGAUCUUGGACUUCUAGCCACCAGAAUGGUGAGGACAUAAAUUCCUGUUGCUUAAGCCACCCAGUCUGUGGUAUUCGUUACAGCAGUCACAGAAAAAUAGUACACAGGCCUUGAGAAACAGACGUGAACACUGCUCCAAUCCCUGGAGUAACAGGGAUUCCUGUGAGCUGCCUGACUGCAGGCAGCACUGUCAGCAUCCCCAUCCCCCAGGAUCGCCUGGGACCUCCCUCUUAUCACAUCGCUCCACCUCAGCUCCUUGGCAGCCAGGCCUCCAGCGGGAGGCAGAGGGCAUCCUCAAGCUGGGCAAUUGGAGGAGCAUUUAAUGAAGGGGCUCUUUACAAAGGUGUGGGCAGGGUUUUGGGAGGUCAGAGAGGAAUGAUGCAGCCCUUCUGCAACCUCGCCUCACCCCAGGCCUGCAGGCAUGCGGAGGGAGUGCCCGCUGGAACCCAGGGCCAGGACAGGGCCUGUGCAGAGGAGUCCACCUUCAGCAAGACGGACCACCAAUACUCUGCGACUUAGAGAAGGAGACUGAGGAAUAAAUGCCCAGACCGUACUCCGCUCCUGCCCUCCUGGUUUCCUGCCAGAGUCUCCCCUUGUCUGAAGCCAACCUGAAGACACCCCUUGAGGACCCCUUCACUGUACUGGGACCAUGGGGGGCUGAGCCUCUGGGAUCAGUCACCUCCCUAACCUCCUGCAUGAGGAACAACUUGACGAACACACAUUUCAACCUGUAACAGGGUGGACAAGCAGAACCCUUCUUCAGAAGCACAUUUAUGAAGUUCCCGCAGUAACUGGCUCAGAGAGAAAUGCUGCUGUAACAGCUGAGAGAAAACUGAUAACCCUGAAAAUAAAGUGUCCAUGGAAAUCUCAUAUAUUGCCUAUUGUUUAAAAACAAUGUCUCACAUAAAAGAGGUGAUGGAUUAGUUUCUUUCAUUAUGCUGCCUCAAG
rnacentral:lncRNA from 10 species